rnacentral:lncRNA from 1 species
GGACAGCAGGGGUAUAAGCCACGCCCUAGUUCAAUCAGGUACUAGGCUUCCCCAUCCCAUACUAGGUAUGAGAUUAGUACUUUCAAACACUUGAUCAGGAACACCACCACUGUCGGGCCUUAGCAAGUUUCAUAGACAGACGGGGUGAUCAACCGACCACCAAAGAGUUACCCAAAACCCUGCCCCGUCCAUCGUCCUUAUAGUUGUAACAGAAGGGUAAACAUCAACUCCUACAACUCGCGAGUGACAGGACAUCAUUCGGCUUUUACCGUUUUCCUAUUUA